UUUUUUCUUUCUUCUUCCAGGUUUUCCUAACCGAAUAUACUGGGCCUCUUCUAAUCUAUCUGCUCUUUUACCUUCGCCUCUCAAGUAUUUACGAUGCAAAGGAGAGCGCAAGAAGUCUAUGCCAUCCUGUAGUUCACCUGGCCUGCUUCUGCCAUUGUUUACACUAUACCAGACAUCUACUGGAGACACUCUUUGUGCAUAAGAUUUCGGAAGGGCACACUCCCCUGAAAAAUAUGAUCAAGGGUUGCACUUUUUACUGGGGGUUCACGUCUUGGCUUGCUUACUACAUCAAUCACCCACAGUACACUCCUCCAU